CCUUUACACUGUACGCCAGUACGAUACGGGGACCCCGAGUGCGAGGGCAUACAGUCCUCGCUUUUGUACACCGUAAGGAGGUGUACGAAUAAGGGCUGGGCAAGACCGGUGCCAGCCGCCGCGGUAAUACCGGCAGCCCGAGUGAUGGCCGCUGUUAUUGGGCCUAAAGCGUCCGUAGCCGGCCGAGCAAGUCUGUCGGGAAAUCCAUCCGCCUACCGGAUGGGCGUCCGGCGGAAACUGUGCGGCUUGGGACCGGAAGACUCGAGGGGUACGUCCGGGGUAGGAGUGAAAUCCUGUAAUCCUGGACGGACCGCCGGUGGCGAAAGCGCCUCGAGAAGACGGAUCCGACGGUCAGGGACGAAAGCUAGGGUCUCGAACCGGAUUAGAUACCCCCGUAGUCC
rnacentral:rRNA from 1 species